rnacentral:lncRNA from 1 species
GACUGGCACCGGAGGCUCGACGGCCACCGCCUCGUCCUGCGUUUCCUGAGGGCCUCCGGCGCGCCGGCUGUCGGGCGCAUCCCUCCAGAGAUGAGGUCUCAUGUGCUGCCCAGGCUGGUCUCGAACUCCUGGACUCAAGCGAUCCGCCCGCGUCGGCCUCCCAAAGCACUUGUUACUUCAGCUCACCCAAUUCCAUAGAACCCUAGCGGGUGCAGAGGAUGCCAAUCUCUGAGCAGAUGAGGGCAGAGAGCAGGAGACCACACUUGGCCCGAGGCAGGACUGCGGAGCUGUGCAAGAGGUGGAGGCUACGCCCGUGACAGCAGAUGGGUCCUGGUAGUCACACAGAAAACCGGCGAGCUGGAUUUGUCCUGGUGAUGAGGCUCUGGAGCAGCAGUUGCAAGGAGUCAUUCCUGUCCUCCUUAACCACAUCCCCAGAGGCCACUCACCUUCUUCCCAGGGCAUAGUCACCCUAGCAAAGCCCACAUGUACCCUCAGAGAAUGCUUGGAGGAAAAUACGGCAUGUGCUGGUUUCAGCGUUGUGGGGCCCUCACCCAGCAUCUCAGCCUCCUCUUCCAGCGAGAUGGCAGGUGCUGGUUUCCGCAUUGUGAGGCCUUCCCCCAGCAUCUCAGCCUCCUCUUCCAGCGAGAUGGCAGGUGCUGGUUUCGGCGUUGUGGGGCCUUCCCCCAGCAUCUCAGCCUCCUCUUCCAGCGAGGACUCCAGUCUACGGAUUGGUUUUCACCUGGACGGUGGGUGAGAGGCCGACUGUACCUCGUGAUGACCAAGCUCUUCCCGGGUUCUGUUAAUGCACUCCUCAAGGCAACAUCUUGAGACCCAUCAGCUCCUGUUAUGUUUGUGUCCCCCAGAAUUCGUAUGCAGAAGCUGUAACCCCCAAUAUGGCCGUAUUUGGAGAUGGAACUUCUGAAGAAGUAAUUAAGGUUAAAGUCAGUCACAAGGGUGGGGUCCUGAUCCGACAGGACAGGCAUCCGUAAAAUAAGAGACACCAGAGAGCUCCCUCUCCCAGUCAGUUUCGUAGGCACACAUGAGAAGGCAGUGUUCACAACCCAAGGGAAGAGCCCUGGACAGGCACCAGACAACCCCAGCGCCUUAAUCUUGGACUUCCAAUCUCCAGAAAUAUAAGACAUUUUUCUUAAGCCUCCCAGUCUGUGGUAUUGUGAUAACAGCCUGAUAUGGUUUGGAUUUGUGUCCCCGCCCAUAAUCCCCAAUGUUGGGGGAGGGGCCUGGUAGGAGGUGACUGGCUCAUGGGCGCAGAUUUCCCCUUGCUGUUCUUGUGGAGGUAAGUGAACUCUCAGGAGACCUGCUUGUUUAAAAGUGUGGCACCUUUCCCCUUUGCUCCCUUUCUCUCCUGGUCUGCCGUGGUAAAACGUGCUUGCUUCCCCUCC